CUACGGGGGGCUCCAGUGAGGAAUAUUGCACAAUGGGGGGAACCCUGACGCAGCAACGCCGCGUGGAGGAUGACGCAUUUCGGUGUGUAAACUCCUUUUAUAUGUCAAGAAAAUGACGGUAGCAUAUGAAUAAGCACCGGCUAACUCCGUGCCAGCAGCCGCGGUAAUACGGAGGGUGCAAGCGUUACUCGGAAUCACUGGGCGUAAAGGACGCGUAGGCGGGUUGGAAAGUCAGGUGUGAAAUCCUACAGCUUAACUGUAGAACUGCACUUGAAACUUCUAAUCUAGAGUAUGGGAGGGGGAGAUGGAAUUAGUGGUGUAAGGGUAAGAUCCGUAGAUAUCACUAGGAAUACCUAAAGCGAAGGCGAUCUCCUGGAACAUUACUGACGCUAAGGCGUGAAAGCGUGGGGAGCAAACAGGAUUAGAUACCCCGGUAGUC
rnacentral:rRNA from 1 species